UUUUUAAUUCUCUAUGUUGUGUUUCUUAUAGCUAUUUUUCAUUAAUGCUUCAAGAGAAACACAACAUAGAGAAUUAAAAAUAAUAAUAAUAAUCACAAAGACUAAAAAGUACUCUUCACCUAUUACAAACCAAAACUGAUGCCACUACUCCGUCCAAGACAAUAAUGACUCCAUAUUCCCUAACUUAGACCCAAAAAUAAAAAAUAAAAACAAAAAUAAAAUGGAGUAUGAAAGCAUGUCAAAGUCGAGAAGGAAUCACAGGGAGAUACCCACGGAGGAAUAUCUAAAAUUUACACCAAAAGACUAAAUGUUAAAAGUCGGUUUUUUAAUGCAGGAAAUAAAAUUUCCAGUAGAUGACCUUCAACUUUUACUCUCAAGCAGAUUGCAAAGAAAUUCCAACCAUU
rnacentral:misc_RNA from 1 species